rnacentral:rRNA from 1 species
GCAGUCGCCACGGUAAUACGGAGGGUGCAAGCGUUAAUCGGAAUUACUGGGCGUAAAGCGCACGCAGGCGGUCUGUCAAGUCGGAUGUGAAAUCCCCGGGCUCAACCUGGGAACUGCAUUCGAAACUGGCAGGCUAGAGUCUUGUAGAGGGGGGUAGAAUUCCAGGUGUAGCGGUGAAAUGCGUAGAGAUCUGGAGGAAUACCGGUGGCGAAGGCGGCCCCCUGGACAAAGACUGACGCUCAGGUGCGAAAGCGUGGGGAGCAAACAGGAUUAGAUACCCGUGUAGUCCCUGUCUCUUAUAC